rnacentral:rRNA from 1 species
UACGUAGGGUGCGAGCGUUAAUCGGAAUUACUGGGCGUAAAGCGUGCGCAGGCGGUUCUGAAAGUCAGCUGUGAAAGCCCCGGGCUUAACCUGGGAAUGGCGGUUGAAACUACAGGACUAGAAUCUGGCAGAGGGGGUGGAAUUCCACGUGUAGCAGUGAAAUGCGUAGAGAUGUGGAGGAACACCGAUGGCGAACGGCGGCAUCCUGGACCGACACUGACGCUGAGGCGCGAAAGCCAGGGGAGCGAACGGG